UCUUUCCUUGACAUGGGGUGAGUGAGCUGCUCAAUGAACGCAUAGUGAGCGCAGCACUGCUGACACCAUAACAACACUUCAGCAUCAACUGAGUAUCCACUCAGAUUUGGUGCAAUUUUUGGAACC